CUACUUACCUGGCAGUGGAGAUACCAUGACCACGAAGGUAGUUUUCCUAGGGGGAGGCUUAUCCAUUGCACUGCAGAUACAGUGACCCCUGCGAUUUCACCACACGUGGGAAAUUCGACUGCAUAAUUUGUGGCAGCGGGGCACUGCGCUUGUGCUUUCCGCUG